CGAGACUGGGACCAGGAUUAGCUCCUUCAGAUGGGCUUCCAACCCAGGAAAUGGGGAAGACUCAAGGGUGUAGCUCUGAAAAGUGAAGACGAUCUGUAGAGGAGACAUACUGGCUAUCAUGGAUCAUUCCAGAGACAUAAGAAGGACCCUGAACAAGACAGGCCAAGACCCAGACUGAAAUGUAACCAUCAGAAUGGAUAAGUGUACCUGCAGCGACUGAGAGAUGGCCCAGCCCUGCAGCCAAGUCAAGAGCCAAAAGACACCACACAACAGCAGGUCGUGUCCUGGGUAAGGACUCAGCAUCUGAAGUCUGAGACAAGGCCCAAGGCCCAAGUCAGUUGGGGAGAAGUAUAGCAACAGGGGGUUCAGCAAGCAGUUCACCAACAGACAACAGGCUCCUAGCCCCUUGGGUGAGAUUCAGGGGCAGGAUGUUGGGUGGGGACAACUAGUGAAAAAAAAAAACAAAACUUAGCCCUAACUGGGGUACUAGGCAGGCUUCAAAGACGGAUCAAGGCAGAAGCCAAGUAAUGAAAACCAAACCAGUGAC